ACUUUAUUGAAACACACAUAAGAUCUUAAUUGCACUACGGUUUCAGAAAUCUAAAACCGAAGAAACAUCUUAAAUUAUUAUAUUUCUAUUAAAAUUACAUACAUUGUGAAAUUUCAAUCCAAACAUUUAACAUUUCAUUCAGUUAAAGAGCUUAAAUGUUUAGAGAAUUGGGAAGUAAAUAAAAUACAUAUAACUAUGCACAUGAAAGUGAAAAGUAUAAAAGGUCAUGAGUAUUGUUAAGAAACAUCAACUUUCGGCAUAAGAAUUAUAAUUUAUUAUACAACCAAAAAAAGAUUAAAAACCCAUUGACACGUCCAUAAACCUUUGGUUGGAACCAAAUUGAUUUUCAAUAAGUGAAUGCAAAAAAGACGCUUUACCAAAAAUACAACACACAACAAAUUAAGAGACCAAAAUAGCUGAAAACGAAAAGAAAACCCACUAUCGACAAUAUUUGUCCCUAUCAUAGUGUUGUAUGUUACGUAAGUGAUAGUUCUAAGCUUAGCUUAUCAGAAUUUAAAAUAGUACCUAACCGAUUAAUGGAUCAUCAUCAUCGUGAGCUUUAAGCUGAUUUCCUUAAGAAAAGAACCAGAAUUUAUAACAAAAAUUUAUUAAUAUUUUAGUAUAUAAGUUUAAACAGACAAUUUAAGGCACCUAAUAUGAAUCUAUUAACAGAAAAUCAUUCAUAUUCGAUAAGUUAAAAAAAAUGUCAACAAAAUAACUAUAAAUUAUAAGCAAGGCAAUAUUAAACUAAGUUAUGAGUUAGAGUUAAGA